UACGGAGGGGGCUAGCGUUGUUCGGAAUUACUGGGCGUAAAGCGCACGUAGGCGGCUUUGUAAGUUAGAGGUGAAAGCCCAGGGCUUAACCCUGGAAUUGCCUUUAAGACUGCAUCGCUAGAAUUGUGGAGAGGUAAGUGGAAUUCCGAGUGUAGAGGUGAAAUUCGUAGAUAUUGGGAAGAACACCGGUGGCGAAGGCGGCUCACUGGCUCAUUUCUGACGCUCAGGCGCGACAGCGUGGGGAUCAAACAGG
rnacentral:rRNA from 1 species